rnacentral:lncRNA from 1 species
CCCCCCCCCCCCCCCCCCCCCCCCCCCCCCCCCCCCCCCCCCCCCCCCCCCCCCCCCCCCCCCCCCCCCCCCCCCCCCCCCCCCCCCCCCCCCCCCGUGCGCCCCCUCUACAACAACAUCCCCCUCAACAUCGGCCCCAUCCCUGCCCCCUACGUGCCCCCCCUGCCCAACAUGAGGGUGAACUUUGACUUUCCCCAGAUCAACGUGCUGGAGCACAACCUGCCUAUGCACUUUGGCCCUCAGCCCCGGCACCGCUUCUGACCUGUCACCCCAGGACAAAGCCACCCCAUAACAUCGCCCCUUCCCCACUCCAGCCCCUCUGGGGUUCAGCCACCAGCCAGGGGACUCGGUGUCCCUGCACUGCACCCUCUCUAGGGCUUCUCCAAACCUUUGCAAUCCAACAUUUCAACCUGUGCUGCAACAGGCUUUGGUGCUACGUUUCCCAGGGGUGGAGAUUGCCCCUGAGCUGGGCAUCCAGAUGUUUUAUUUUGACAAAGCCUGUUCAGGCAGCUGUUGGGAGGAAAACUGAGACUGUGUGGAACACAGGGAGACAGCAGUUCCUUGGGGAAUUUCCAAAAAUCCUGUCUUCCUGCUGGCCAGAGCAGCAAAGUGAGUCUUGGGGGAAGGGAGGAGACACUUGGCAUCUGGGUAAAUGUAAGACCUUCAGGAGUGAGGUAACAGGAGAGAUGUUUGACCUAGUGUCACACGGGAGAAGCCAGAGCAGGAAUUAGAUGGUUGGGACCGUGACGGGGAUGGGGGGAGGUGACACGGGGAGGGGGUGAAGGCCAGCGAGAGCGUGUGUCGAGUCACAGGGUCACACAGGGCUGCGAGACACUUGGUCCUUGCAGGGGCAGCGGGCUCCAGGGGAUUGGUGGUGCCAGGGGAUGCGUGGUGCCCCUGGUGUGAGCGCAGAGCCGAGGUAGAGUCCAGCUGGGAUCCCCUGCACCCGCCAGGGGCCCCAGCCCAGAGCUGCCCCCCGCCUGGGGACAGCCCAGAGCUCUCCCAGCUGAGUUUAGCACCGAGCUCCUGCGGAGGGGAGUCCCUCCCCAUGGCUUUAAGGCUGACGAGCCCCUGCCUGGCCCCCGGCAGGAGGGACCGGCCCUGGUUUGGCACGGCAGCGAUGCCGAGAGCACCCUUGGCGUGGGGUGGCACCAGCACUCCCCUUCUCCAGAGGGGGCCCACGCAGGAAAAGGCUCCUUGGUGUGUUUGUAGGGAGCAGAUCCCAGCCCUGGGAAGGCCCCAAAGGAUAAAGUGCCUUUCAACACCCUAAGGAACACGCAGCAUCACCCGUUACAGACAGCGUUAAAAUCUAAUGCAGACCUAGUACAGACAACAGCUGGUCACACAGUGCCAUGGAGAGCAUAUAUAAAUAGAUACUAACAAAAAUACUGUUUUGGUCUUUUUUUUUCUUUUUUUUUUUCCUUUUCCAGUAGGGUUGCAAUUCAUGAGAGCCCAGCCCAGGUGCCUUGGGGUGGGGGGACCAGGAGCUGCCCCCUCGGGGUGCCCAUGGGAGUGGGCAAUUCCUAAUUCAGCAUUAGGUGUUCAGUGAUUCACUUCACUGUUCCAGUAUUUUUCGAGAGAGAAAAAAACAACAUCAAAGGUACUGAUGCAAAUAUCACUGUGCAAAGUUUGCUAAGGAACUUUUCUAUUCUGUAAACCAAAAUCUGCAGUUUAAGCUUCCAGCCACUGCCCCAGGGAGAUCCCGUUGGCCAGCCCGGCUCCUGCUGGGACCGAAGCCCACGGGAGAUGGGCUGGAUGGGCUGGCUCUGUGUCCCCCCACACCCUCCCCUCCAGGCACAGCAGCAGGACCAGCCUCAGGGCAGGCUGGACCCACCAUCAGGGUCUGGGAUGCUCCUCCAGAGCCAAAAGCACAGGGAGGGGUGGAGGGACAGGAGGAGCAUGGGGCUCCGUGAGAUGAAAGGCUGAGGCUUUCCAGACAGGAUCACCCUAAAGAAUCAUUUCCAGGUGUUUGGGGAGGGGCAGCUUGCUGGCCCUUCCACAGGGAUGUGCUGGCACAUGCCAGCCCCAUCCCCAGGGAUGCUGUGAUAUGUAAGGUCACCUCUUGCAGCUCAGCUGAGGAUGAACCUGCCCCACAAUCCAGGAGGGGAGAGAAGCUGCUGGGAGCAGCCAGCUGAGCCAGCUGAGCCCAGCACCAUCGCUGCACCCCUGACUGGAGCAGGGCAGGACAGGAUGGAUGCUCCAGGGGACACUGGCAGCACAGUCUGAGGCUGUGCCAGCGCUGAUAUGGCAGAAGUGAGCACAGAGGUGAUCUUAUUCCCUUUUUUAAUCGAUGAGAGGAAAACAAACUACCUAAGGUGAUGCUCAGGGCCAGGAGGGGGAUACGGCCAUUUCCAAGCCCAGCAAACCUGGAGGGAGGCAGGGAUGGGGGGAUAGAGACAGACCCCUCUACAAAGCUAUAGGCAGGUAGCCCCACCACUUUUCCAGUUCUUACAGGGAUUUACGGAGACCCACCUCCCACAUAACUGUAUGGCAGGAGGGAAGGGCAAGCCAGUCUGAAAAUCCUGUUACAGAGAGAAGAAACAGAACCCAAAGAAAAAGAGGACAGGAAGGGAAAGAGAAGUUGGCAAC